rnacentral:tRNA from 1 species
GCUGCUGUAGCUCAAAUGGCUAGAGCGCCCCGGUCCUAACGGGGAGGUUAUGAGUUCAAGUCCCAUCAGCAGCACCA